rnacentral:lncRNA from 1 species
AAUCGACUAUAACAUAGCAAGAAGAUAAUCAAUCCAUUCCCAUCAGCAUGUCAAAGUCAAUCAUAUCAAGUGCAAUAAGGUCAGCUAGAGUAUCUCUACCCCCAACCCGAAUCUGACAAGCACGAUACACAUAUUCAGCUAAUAGAGACUCUCCGACAGGAGUAGCAACUAGAAACGGUUCAUUCAGCAACUAGCAAAGUACGAGGACACAUAGGAGUGAGUAGAUCCCGGAUCAAUCAACGCAAGUGCAUCAAAUCAAUAGCUCGGGCUGUCUACUAAAUCUCAAAGCAAAGUACGAGGACACAUAGGAGUGGGUAGAUCCCGGACCAAUCAACGCAAGUGCAUCAAAUGAACAGACAGAAAGAAUACCUGUAACCACUGCAUUCGAGGCCUGAGCGUCCUAUCUAGUAAAUGCAAAACUCUUGCCUGACCUCUACCAGCAUUGCCUUGUCCUUGAUUCACAGUAGCACGGUCUCCAACACUUUGACCUCUAUUUCCUGUACCUGUAGCACCUAAAGUUUUACGAGUUGUCUGAGUCAGUUCAGCUGACUGAAUAGAAGCCUGGUUGAAAUUUCUCGGAGGUUAAGGGCAAUCCCUCAAAUGAUGUCCCAAUUGGCCACAUCGAAAUCACUCUCCAGUUAGAACACGACAUUGGCCCAUGUGUGAUCUACCACAAGUCUGGCAGACUGGAGUAGUGGCAUAUAUCUUCGCAUAAUUACGAUGUCCAGAAGAUGAUGGUCACGUAUUACACUGUCUCUAAGGUGGUCUAUAUGUGGACUGUGAAGACAUGUGUGUCCCUAUCUGGGAACCCUGUUGUUGUUGUUGUCCCUGGUUUCCUGCUCUUCUAUUUUCACUAAAACCGCCAUUGAAAGCCCGUCAUGUCUUGGCCUUCUUAUGUAAUUCACUAGCUGCACGCUCUUCACGUCCCUUAUUUUCAAUCUUUCUAGCAAGGUCAACUACAUCAGAGUAGGAUAAAGUCUUCAUCAGCGGGGCUACUGCAGUGCAUAGACGACCAACCAAUCCAUAAACAAGCCUCUGAAUUCGAGCUUCUUCGGUAGGCACUAAGUGAGGAGCAUAUAUAGCCAGCUUACAAAACUUAGUGUUAUAUGCUGACACAUCCAUAUCUGGAGUCUGGAAAAUUCUCUCAAAGUCCCUAGCAUAUUGUAGCAUCAGACUGUCUGGAAGAAAAUGAUUCUUGAACAACUUGUACAUCCAUAUCUAGAGUCUGAACCAAUCUCUCAAAGUCUCUAGCAUGUUGUUGUAUUAGACUGUCUGGAAGAGAAUGAUUCUUGAAUAACUUAGUGAACUCGUCCUAUGUCAGUGGUGGUGCUCCUUCCAGUCUUCCUAACAAUACAGUUUCAUACCAUGUGUUGGCUAUAUCCUCUAGUUUGAAUGAUAUGAGCUCCACGGCUCGCUCACUAGAACAUCCAAGAGCACGUAAUGCCUCAAGUGUCCCAUCCAAGAAACUUUGAGGAUCUGUUGAAUUAUCAAAACCUGUGAAUUUUGGUGAUUUCAAUUUCAGGAACUCGUGUAGGGAUACUUCCUUAUUUUCG